UGGUAGUNCACGCCCUAAACGAUGUCGAUUAGCUGUUGGGCAGCUUGACUGCUUAGUAGCGAAGCUAACGCGUGAAAUCGACCGCCUGGGGAGUACGGUCGCAAGAUUAAAACUCAAAGGAAUUGACGGGGACCCGCACAAGCGGUGGAUGAUGUGGAUUAAUUCGAUGCAACGCGAAGAACCUUACCUGGUCUUGACAUGUACGGAACCCUCCAGAGACGGAGGGGUGCCUUCGGGAGCCGUAACACAGGUGCUGCAUGGCUGUCGUCAGCUCGUGUCGUGAGAUGUUGGGUUAAGUCCCGCAACGAGCGCAACCCUUGUCAUUAGUUGCCAUCAUUAAGUUGGGCACUCUAAUGAGACUGCCGGUGACAAGCCGGAGGAAGGUGGGGAUGACGUCAAGUCCUCAUGGCCCUUAUGACCAGGGCUUCACACGUCAUACAAUGGUCGGUACAGAGGGUAGCCAAGCCGCGAGGUGGAGCCAAUCUCACAAAACCGAUCGUAGUCCGGAUUGCACUCUGCAACUCGAGUGCAUGAAGUCGGAAUCGCUAGUAAUCGCAGGUCAGCAUACUGCGGUGAAUACGUUCCCGGGUCUUGUA
rnacentral:rRNA from 1 species